rnacentral:rRNA from 1 species
GGGUUGUGAGGUUAAGCGACUAAGCGUACACGGUGGAUGCCCUGGCAGUCAGAGGCGAUGAAGGGCGUGCUAAUCUGCGAUAAGCGCCGGUAAGGUGAUAUGAACCGUUAUAACCGGCGAUACCCGAAUGGGGAAACCCAGUGUGAUUCGUCACACUAUCAUUAACUGAAUCCAUAGGUUAAUGAGGCGAACCGGGGGAACUGAAACAUCUAAGUACCCCGAGGAAAAGAAAUCAACCGAGAUUCCCCCAGUAGCGGCGAGCGAACGGGGAGGAGCCCAGAGCCUGAAUCAGCAUGUGUGUUAGUGGAAGCGUCUGGAAAGGCGCGCGAUACAGGGUGACAGCCCCGUACACAAAAGCGUAUGUGCUGUGAGCUCGAUGAGUAGGGCGGGACACGUGGUAUCCUGUCUGAAUAUGGGGGGACCAUCCUCCAAGGCUAAAUACUCCUGACUGACCGAUAGUGAACCAGUACCGUGAGGGAAAGGCGAAAAGAACCCCGGCGAGGGGAGUGAAAAAGAACCUGAAACCGUGUACGUACAAGCAGUGGGAGCACCCUUUGGGGUGUGACUGCGUACCUUUUGUAUAAUGGGUCAGCGACUUAUAUUCUGUAGCAAGGUUAACCGAAUAGGGGAGCCGGAGGGAAACCGAGUCUUAAUUGGGCGUUAAGUUGCAGGGUAUAGACCCGAAACCCGGUGAUCUAGCCAUGGGCAGGUUGAAGGUUGGGUAACACUAACUGGAGGACCGAACCGACUAAUGUUGAAAAAUUAGCGGAUGACCUGUGGCUGGGGGUGAAAGGCCAAUCAAACCGGGAGAUAGCUGGUUCUCCCCGAAAGCUAUUUAGGUAGCGCCUCGUGAAUUCAUCUCCGGGGGUAGAGCACUGUUUCGGCUAG